UACAGAGGGUGCGAGCGUUGUUCGGAAUUAUUGGGCGUAAAGCGCUUGUAGGCGGCACGUCAAGUCGCGUGUGAAAUCCCCAGGCUUAACCUGGGAAGUGCGCGCGAAACUGACGAGCUUGAGUGCCGGAGAUGGUCGCGGAAUUCCCGGUGUAGAGGUGAAAUUCGUAGAUAUCGGGAGGAACACCAGUGGCGAAGGCGGCGACCUGGACGGACACUGACGCUGAGACGCGAAAGCGUGGGGAGCAAACAGG
rnacentral:rRNA from 1 species